ACAGCAGGAAACUAUUUUAAUAACUAGUUCAACAUUUUGGGAAAAAAAAAAAAAAAAAAUAUUUGUCAAAAAAAAAUGGUAGAGUCAGUAGGUAUUAGCUUAGCUUAGCAUAAUGACUGGAAACAGGUGGAAACUGUUAGCCUGGAUCUGUCCGGGGGUUACAAACUCAUCGAGCAGCAGCUAAAGCUCAAAAACCAAAGUGUAAAAAAACAUUUUGUGGGUUUAUAUGUGUGAGAGACUCCAAAAAAAUGAUUCUGGACUGGCUGUUUCCAACUGUUUUUAUGCUAAGCUAGGCUAAAGCUAAGGCUAGGCUAGGCUAGGCUAGGCUAGGCUAGGAUAAUCUGGCUCCUGGAUUGAGUUUGUAUCGUAAAUAUGAAGUUACAGCCUGGAGACAGUUAGAUUAGCUUAGCUUAGCUUUUCAUACAACUAUUUGUCUGAGAAAUAUGAAAUCAUGGAGUCAGUAGGUAUUAGCUUAGCUUAGCAUAAUGACUGGAAACGGGUGGAAACUGUUAGCCUGGAUCUGUCCGGGGGUUACAAACUCAUCUAGCAGCAGCUAAAGCUC